rnacentral:rRNA from 1 species
GUAGUCAUAUGCUUGUCUCAAAGAUUAAGCCAUGCAUGUCUAAGUAUAAACAAAUCUAUACUGUGAAACUGCGAAUGGCUCAUUAAAUCAGUUAUAGUUUAUUUGAUAGUACCUUACUACAUGGAUAACCGUAGUAAUUCUAGAGCUAAUACAUGCUAAAAAACCCGACUCUCGGAAGGGUUGUAUUUAUUAGAUAAAAAACCAAUGCGGUCUCGGCCGGUUAUUUGGUGAUUCAUAAUAACUUUGCGAAUCGUAUGACUUUGCGUCGACGAUGAUUCAUUCAAAUUUCUGCCCUAUCAACUUUCGAUGGUAAGGUAUUGGCUUACCAUGGUUACAACGGGUAACGGGGAAUA